GGCUUCGUGGUGUAGUGGUCAGCACACUCGACGCGUAUUCGAGAGAUCCGUAGUUCGAGUCCCGGCGAGGGCA
rfam:Stegodyphus mimosarum contig104243, whole genome shotgun sequence.